GACGAACGCUGGCGGCGUGCUUAACACAUGCAAGUCGAACGGAAAGGCCCUGCUUUUGUGGGGUGCUCGAGUGGCGAACGGGUGAGUAACACGUGAGUAACCUGCUCUUGACUUUGGGAUAACUUCAGGAAACUGGGGCUAAUACCGGAUAGGAGCUCCUGCUGCAUGGUGGGGGUUGGAAAGUUUCGGCGGUUGGGGAUGGACUCGCGGCUUAUCAGCUUGUUGGUGGGGUAGUGGCUUACCAAGGCUUUGACGGGUAGCCGGACUGAGAGGGUGACCGGCCACAUUGGGACUAAGAUACGGCCCAGACUCCUACGGGAGACAGCAGUGGGGAAUAUUGCACAAUGGGCGGAAGCCUGAUGCAGCAACGCCGCGUGCGGGAUGACGGCCUUCGGGUUGUAAACCGCUUUCGCCUGUGACGAAGCGUGAGUGACGGUAAUGGGUAAAGAAGCACCGGCUAACUACGUG
rnacentral:rRNA from 1 species